rnacentral:tRNA from 1 species
UGGGGUUGUGGCUCAGGGGUAGAGCACUCGCCUACUAUGCGUGAGGCACUGAGUUCGAUCCUCAGCACCUCAU